rnacentral:lncRNA from 13 species
GCGCUUUCAGGAAAGACAUCAGUAGGAAGUGUCACUGCUUCCCAUGAUGAGAAGCCAGACCCUAAACCUGCUAACCUCCCCCCACUGCCCCUGCUGAUUGUGAGUUGCUAAUUGACUCAGUGAUUUUCAGGUCUGGAAAGGCAGCUGGAGUUUAGAUGAUAAUAACACAGCUAAUGCUCACUGAGCAUGUACUGUGUGCUGGAGGCUUCCUUGUGGUAUUCUCAAACUAUGAUGUGCACAUCAAUCUCUGGGGAGGUGAUUAAAAUGCAGAUUCUGAUUCAGUAGGUCUGGGGUGGGGCCUGAGGGUCCAUGGUUCUUGUAGAGUUCCAGGUGGUGCCAAUGCUAUGGGUCAGCAGACCACACUUGAAGUAACAGGGGUCCAGUGAUAAAUCUCAUUAGAUUCUCACAUGUACCCCAUGAGGGGGUACCAUUAUGAAUCUCAUUUUUAUAGGGGAAGAAAUGAAUGGACGCUUAAAGAGGUUAAGUGUCUUCAGAAUGCUUUACAGCUCUUUAAUGACAGAUUUGAGAUGGAAAACUGGGCAUUUCAUCCUUCCCUCCCUCUUUUUCCCCUCAGCAGUAACCAUGGAGAUAUGCAUAGUACGAUGCAUUACAGAAUCUUGAGCUGGAAGCAGCCUGGAUUCCUGAGUGACUGUCUGGAGGAGAGAGGUCCUGCAGAGUCAUCCAAACCAGAUGGCAUGGUGUGACCUGUGACCUGACAAGUAUGGGCAGGAGGAGACCAGGAACAUGUGAUGUACAAUGCAGAGAAAAGCUAAAAUGCAUGGCAGGUACCCUUGCUCAACACAGCCUUCUCGGAUCAGGGAGGAUGGCAUCCCCUUAAUUUUUGGUUCUUUAGGAAAACGUUUUUACCUCCUGAUUUCCUGGGGGAUGGGAGCUGUGGUUAGCCAUAGCUAACCAUAUGUUGGGUUUCAGAGACCUGUACUGAUCCUGUUGUUGGCUAGUAACAAAGUACUUGGAGAAAAAGGAUUAGGACUUGGAAAGAAAAUCUGGAUCCAGAUUUCUAACCGAUCCCAUCACCUGUUUGACCUUGGACAAAGUUUUGAAACCCUCUUAGCUCAGUUUUCUCCUGGGGCCACUAGAGGGAUUACAUUAGUCCACAUAAGCCCCUGGGUGGCCGGCAUGGAGUGGAGGUCCAACAUGUGUUUGCCGAUGGUCUGUUUAUUGAGAGCUUGGUCAUCAGUCUGAGUAUCUACCAUGUGGUUGAGAAGACUGUACUCAGAUGAGGAACGAGGGUUUGAAACACACUGGCACCUUUUUAUACUAGAGGUCCCUAGUGAGGGACAGCAUCUUAAUACAACCUACAUAGGCCCACAGGAAAUCUUGUUAUAUCAUGACGGGGUGUUUUGAUUGUGACUGAAACAGACCAAUUUCAUAUAGAUUCCCUGCUAGAAACAAUUCCAAAUGUUCAGCAACUACCCACAUGCAAAUAACCACCAGGCCAGAUCUCAUUACAACAAAUCCGGUUUAUAAAAUGCAAAAAGCAGCAACCUAAACUAUCCCUAUGGCACUAAAACAUCCUCCAGUCUUAUUUGCUGCCUAAUUUAUUUAAAAAAGAAAGUGAGGCAAUAAAAAUAAUAGUUUAGGGAAUCCUUUGAAAUCU